AUACUUACCUGGCAGGGGAGAUACCAUGCUCACAAUGGUGGUUUUCCCAGGGCAAGGCUUAUCCAUUGCUCUCCGGAUGUGCUGACCUCUGCGAUUUUCCCAAAUGUGGGAAUCUCAACUGCAUAAUUUGUGGUAGUGGGGAACUGCGUUCACGCUCUCCCCUG
rnacentral:snRNA from 1 species